CUGACCGGAAGUGCUUUAGCUAUACAUCAUCUCACCUUCCUGCGGCUUCUCUAGGAAUGUAAACUUGCUAAGAUUAACCCUUAACAAGGUAAAACAAUGAGGGAUCUUGUGGCACUUGCGAGACUAACCCAUUUGCUGUACCAGAGAACAACAAAUUGCCUUCGCACAAAUCAUUAAGAACAGAUACUGAUUUGGCAAGCUAGCUGACUGGGGAAAACAUAAGACGAUUUAGCAGCCAGGAAUAUUAAAAGCAAGCCGAAAAAUAGUAAAAGAUACGGUAAUACAUAUUCUUGUAAUGAAAUGGGAUGGGGCUGCUGUAGUUGGGGCUGCUGUAGUGGUAGAAGAGCACCUGCUGCUUUGCAUGCAGAAGGUCCCAGGUUCAAUCCCUGGCAUUUCCAGGUAGGGCUGGGGAAGAAUCCUGCCUGAAACCUUGGAGAGCUGCUGCCAAGUCAGUGCAGACAUAGGAAGCUGCCAUAUUCUGAGUCAGACCCUUGGUCUAUCUAGCUCAGUAUUGUCUUCACAGACUGGCAGCGGCUUCUCCAAGGUUGCAGGCAGGAAUUUCUCUCAGCCCUGUCUUGGAGAUGCUGCCAGGGAGGGAACUCGGAAUCUUCUGCUCUUCCCAGAGUGGCUCCAUCCCCUGAGGGGAAUAUCUUACAGUGCUCACACUUCUAGUCUCCCAUUCAUAUGCAACCAGGGUGGACCCUGCUUGCAUGCUUGCUACCACAAGACCACAAGGACCAAAGUCAUGCUUGCUACUACAAGACCAGCUCUCCUCUCCCAUAAAGACACAGCAGAAGGGCUUGGCUCCAGAGGAUGGAAUUCAAGAGUACGCUAGUGAGGUGGUGACUGCAAGUGGAAGGCUCUCUGGCACUGCUACAACCAAAAUUGUAUCCAAGGAUAAAGGAUUUCACAAUAUAUAGUAGUUAUAGUGUUGUACAUGCUUAUGAAUCCCAACAUUUAUAAUUUAAAAAUUGGCUAUAAGGACAACUGUGAGUAUAGACAUUGCCAGCCCUGCUUUGCCAAUCAGAACUGCUAAUCUGGUAAAUUUUGCUUGUAGAAAGGGUUUUUCCUUUCUGUGUGGAAUAUUUUGGUUUUUCUUCUUCAUUUGUUUUUAUCUUUGCAUCUUCAUGUACCUUUUCAGUAUCUACAGAGUGAGUCUAGAGAUGAUUUGUCUCUAGAUUUUUGUGUGAUCGCUUGUUGUUUUCUCACCGGUCUUCCCAACUCCAAGUAAACUGAGGAUAAUUCCU